rnacentral:rRNA from 1 species
CGAGACCCCAGGCCAGUCGGGACYACCCGCUGAAUUUAA